UACGUAGGGUGCGAGCGUUGUCCGGAAUUAUUGGGCGUAAAGAGCUCGUAGGCGGUGUGUCACGUCGGCCGUGAAAACCUGCAGCUUAACUGUGGGCGUGCGGUCGAUACGGGCAUCACUGGAGUUCGGCAGGGGAGACUGGAAUUCCUGGUGUAGCGGUGAAAUGCGCAGAUAUCAGGAGGAACACCAAUAGCGAAGGCAGCUCGCUGGGACGGUAUUGACGCUAAGGCGCGAAAGCGUGGGGAGCGAACAGG
rnacentral:rRNA from 1 species